UGCCCCGUGGCUGAGUUGGUUACAGCGGUUGACUGUUAGUAUAAUGAUAAUUAAGGAUUAUUACGUAAUAACAAUCAGACGGUCCAGAGUUCGAAUCUCUGCGGGGCAG